AUUGAACGCUGGCGGCAGGCUUAACACAUACAAGUCGAGCGGGGGAGGUUGCUUCGGUAACUGACCUAGCGGCGGACGGGUGAGUAAUGCUUAGGAAUCUGCCUAUUAGUGGGGGACAACAUUCCGAAAGGGAUGCUAAUACCGCAUACGCCCUACGGGGGAAAGCAGGGGAUCUUCGGACCUUGCGCUAAUAGAUGAGCCUAAGUCGGAUUAGCUAGUUGGUGGGGUAAAGGCCUACCAAGGCGACGAUCUGUAGCGGGUCUGAGAGGAUGAGCCGCCAAGCUGGUACGAAGGCACGGCCCAGACUCCUACGGGAGGCAGCAGUGGGGAAUAUUGGACAAUGGGCGGAAGCCUGAUCUAGCCAUGCCGCGUGUGUGAAGAAGGCCUUUUGGUUGUAAAGCACUUUAAGCGAGGAGGAGGCUACUAGUACUAAUACUACUGGAUAGUGGACGUUACUCGCAGAAUAAGCACCGGCUAACUCUGUGCCAGCCGCCGCCGUAACAC
rnacentral:rRNA from 1 species